AGGAAAAUAGUUUAAUGGGUAGAAUAGUAGUUUCCAAAACUAUUGGUUAAGGGUUCAAGUCCCUUUUUUCCUG
rnacentral:tRNA from 1 species